AGUAGUUUGUCUACGUCGGCUACAGAGUCGAACGCUAGCGGCAGGCUUAACACGAUGCGAAGUCGAGGGGCGAUCGGAGGAAGCUUGCUUCCUUGCCGGCGACCGGCGCACGGGUGAGUACACGUAUGCAACCUGCCCUCCGUUCAGGGGGACGAACCUUCCGAAAGGGAGGCUAAUCCCGCGUAUAUCGUUUCGGGCAUCCGAGAUCGAGGAAAGAUUCAUCGGAAGAGGAUGGGCAUGCGGCGCAUUAGCUUGACGGCGGGGUAACGGCCCACCGUGGCGACGAUGCGUAGGGGUUCUGAGAGGAAGGUCCCCCACACUGGUACUGAGACACGGACCAGACUCCUACGGGAGGCAGCAGUGAGGAAUAUUGGUCAAUGGGAGAGAUCCUGAUCCAGCCAAGCCGCGUGAGGGAAGACGGCCCUAUGGGUUGUAAACCUCUUUUGUCGGAGAACAAAACCCGGGACGUGUCCCGGACUGCGUGUAUCCGAAGAAAAAGCAUCGGCUAACUCCGUG
rnacentral:rRNA from 1 species